rnacentral:rRNA from 1 species
GCCGGUGGCGGCGUGCUAUACAUGCAGUCGAACGAACUCUGGUAUUGAUUGGUGCUUGCAUCAUGAUUUACAUUUGAGUGAGUGGCGAACUGGUGAGUAACACGUGGGAAACCUGCCCAGAAGCGGGGGAUAACACCUGGAAACAGAUGCUAAUACCGCAUAACAACUUGGACCGCAUGGUCCGAGUUUGAAAGAUGGCUUCGGCUAUCACUUUUGGAUGGUCCCGCGGCGUAUUAGCUAGAUGGUGGGGUAACGGCUCACCAUGGCAAUGAUACGUAGCCGACCUGAGAGGGUAAUCGGCCACAUUGGGACUGAGACACGGCCCAAACUCCUACGGGAGGCAGCAGUAGGGAAUCUUCCACAAUGGACGAAAGUCUGAUGGAGCAACGCCGCGUGAGUGAAGAAGGGUUUCGGCUCGUAAAACUCUGUUGUUAAAGAAGAACAUAUCUGAGAGUAACUGUUCAGGUAUUGACGGUAUUUAACCAGAAAGCCACGGCUAACUACGUGCCAGCAGCCGCGGUAAUACGUAGGUGGCAAGCGUUGUCCGGAUUUAUUGGGCGUAAAGCGAGCGCAGGCGGUUUUUUAAGUCUGAUGUGAAAGCCUUCGGCUCAACCGAAGAAGUGCAUCGGAAACUGGGAAACUUGAGUGCAGAAGAGGACAGUGGAACUCCAUGUGUAGCGGUGAAAUGCGUAGAUAUAUGGAAGAACACCAGUGGCGAAGGCGGCUGUCUGGUCUGUAACUGACGCUGAGGCUCGAAAGUAUGGGUAGCAAACAGGAUUAGAUACCCUGGUAGUCCAUACCGUAAACGAUGAAUGCUAAGUGUUGGAGGGUUUCCGCCCUUCAGUGCUGCAGCUAACGCAUUAAGCAUUCCGCCUGGGGAGUACGGCCGCAAGGCUGAAACUCAAAGGAAUUGACGGGGGCCCGCACAAGCGGUGGAGCAUGUGGUUUAAUUCGAAGCUACGCGAAGAACCCUUACCAGGUCUUGACAUACUAUGCAAAUCUAAGAGAUUAGACGUUUCCCUUUCGGGGACAUGGAUACAGGUGGUGCAUGAUGUCGUCAGCUCGUGUCGUGAGAUGUGGAUAGUCCGCACGAGCGCAACCGUAUAAUCAGUGCCAGCAUAGUUGGUCACUCUGUGAGACUGACGUGACUACCGGAGCAUGGUGGGAUGAACGGUUCAAAUCAAUUCCAUGGCGCCCGUA